AUGAUUGAGCAAUGUAACAUUUUCCCCCCUUCUUUUGUCAGAGGCAAAACUUUGAACCGCAGCGAGAUUCUUAGUUUUGAGAAGAGUAGCCUGUUGGUAGUUGCAAAUGAUGUUUGUUUCGUAGAUGUGAUCCUACAUUUUGAUGUGCGCGUGCGCGUGCUACCCUGUUUUUUUUUUCUAUCAAAUUGUAAAUUUUGUGUCCUGGUAACAACAUUCGGAGGUAGGAACCGAGCCGGAUGGAGCAACAAGAUUUACAUCGCAUCGAUUGCAUUUGCAGCUAUUCUCGCCUGUGGUGCUGCGGAGAGUGUUGCACUGAUGCAGAACAUAGGCUCAAUGUUGCUUCAUCACAAUAUUGCCUUGUCAGGGCACUGUCGACACCAGAUGAUGGCUAGGCAGCUGACAGAGAAGCUCGGAUCUCCUCGUGGAGCUCCUGCAGCAGCAUUGUGA
rnacentral:rRNA from 1 species